rnacentral:tRNA from 1 species
GCUGAUGUAGCUCAGUGGUGGAGUGGUUGCUUGGUGUGCAUUACAGCUUGGGUCCAAUCCCAGCAUUGGGA